UGGGGAAUAUUGCACAAUGGGCGCAAGCCUGAUGCAGCCAUGCCGCGUGUGUGAAGAAGGCCUUCGGGUUGUAAAGCACUUUCAGCGGGGGAGGAAGGCGCAAGGUUAAUAACCUUGGCGAUUGACGUUACCCGCAGAAGAAGCACCGGCUAACUCCGUG
rnacentral:rRNA from 1 species